AGCAGUAGCCGCGGUAAUACGUAGGUCCCGAGCGUUGUCCGGAUUUAUUGGGCGUAAAGCGAGCGCAGGCGGCUUGAUAAGUCUGAAGUUAAAGGCUGUGGCUCAACCAUAGUUCGCUUUGGAAACUGUCAAACUUGAGUGCAGAAGGGGAGAGUGGAAUUCCAUGUGUAGCGGUGAAAUGCGUAGAUAUAUGGAGGAACACCGGUGGCGAAAGCGGCUCUCUGGUCUGUAACUGACGCUGAGGCUCGAAAGCGUGGGGAGCGAACAGGAUUAGAUACCCCAGUAGUCCCUGUCUCUUAUCAC
rnacentral:rRNA from 1 species